GACGAACGCUGGCGGCGUGCCUAAUACAUGCAAGUAGAACGCAGUUGCGAACGGGUGAGUAACGCGUAUGUAACUGCCUCAUAGCGGGGGAUUACUUUUGGAAACGAUAGCUAAUACCGCCUACUGUGGGAUGGACCUGCUUUGGUUUAGCUAGUUGGUGAGGUAAAGGCUCACCAAGGCGACGAUCCAUAGCCGACCUGAGAGGGUGACCGGCCACACUGGGACUGAGACACGGCCCAGACUCCUACGGGAGGCAGCAGUAGGGAAUCUUGGGCAAUGGACGGAAGUCUGACCGAGCAACGCCGCGUGAGUGAAGAAGGUUUUCGGAUCGUAAAGCUCUGUUGUUAGAGAAGCGGUAACGAACAAGAAGGGGACGGCUAACUACGUGCAAGCAGCGGCGGUAAUA
rnacentral:rRNA from 1 species